GAAAACCUAAACAGACCAUAACCAGCCAUUAUAGAAGCAGUAAUAAAAAGCCUUCCAGGGGCUGGAUGUAGUGGUGCAUUCCUAUAAUCCCAGAAGCUUGAAAGGCUGAGGCAGGAGGAUCACAAGUUCAAAACCAGCCUCAUCAAAAGUGAGGUGCUAAGCAACUCAGUGAGACCCUGUCUCUAAAUAAAAUACAAAAUAGGGCUGGGGAUAUGGCUCAAUGGUUGAGUGUUCCUGAGUUCAAUCCAUUGUACCCAAAACAAAACAAACAAACAAAAAAAAACCCAAAAGCCUUCCAACCAGGAAAGGUCUAGGACCAGAUGAAUUCUCAGUUGAAUUCUACCAGACCUUUAAAGAAGAACUAACAUAAAUGUACCUCAAAUUAUUCCAUGAAAUAGAAAGGGAUGCACACUUCCAAAUUUAUUCUGUUAAACCAGUAUCACACUCAUCUAAACCAAAUAAGGACAUAUCAGCAAAAACAGACCAAUAUCUCAGAUGAACUAAGAUGAAAAAAUCCUUAACAAAAUAUUAAAAUAUCAUGUUUAACAAUAUAUUAAAAAUAUUGUACAUAAAGACCAGGUUACUUUUAACCCAGGAAUACUAGAAUGAUUCAACAUACACAAAUAAAAAACGUAAUCCAUUGCAUAAGUAGAAUUAAAGACAAAAAUCUCUUAGUCAUCUUAACAGAUACAGUGGAGGCCUUCUACAGAAUUUGGCACCAAUUUAUGAUAAAAACACUGAAGAAACCAAAGAUAGAAAAAACCUACUCUAACAUCAUAAAGGUUAUAUAUGAAAAUCCCAAAGCCCACAUCAUAAUGGAUGGGGGAAAAUUUAAACUAUUUCCUUUAAAAUCUGGAACAAGACAAGGAUGCCUACUCUUACCACUUCUAUUCUAUUUAGCAUUAGAAAUUCUAGUCACAGCAGUUAAACAAGAGAGGGAAAUAAAAGGGCUCAAAAUAGGAGAGGAAGAAGUCAAAUUAUCACUAUUUUCAGAUGGCAUGAUCCUAUACUUAGUAGAUUCAAAUGUUUGCCAAAGGACUUCUAGAUGAAAUGAACAAAUUCUGC
rnacentral:lncRNA from 1 species